rnacentral:rRNA from 1 species
GGAAACGACUGCUAAUACCGAAUAAGUUCCAAGAGCCGCAUGGCCCAUGGAAGAAAAGGUGGCCUCUACCUGUAAGCUAUCGCCUGAAGAGGGGUUUGCGUCUGAUUAGCUGGUUGGAGGGGUAACGGCCCACCAAGGCGACGAUCAGUAGCCGGUCUGAGAGGAUGAACGGCCACACUGGAACUGAGACACGGUCCAGACUCCUACGGGAGGCAGCAGUGGGGAAUCUUCCGCAAUGGGCGAAAGCCUGACGGAGCAACGCCGCGUGAGUGAUGACGGCCUUCGGGUUGUAAAACUCUGUGAUCCGGGACGAAAAGGCAGAGUGCGAAGAACAAACUGCAUUGACGGUACCGGAAAAGCAAGCCACGGCUAACUACGUGCCAGCAGCCGCGGUAAUACGUAGGUGGCAAGCGUUGUCCGGAAUUAUUGGGCGUAAAGCGCGCGCAGGCGGCUUCCCAAGUCCCUCUUAAAAGUGCGGGGCUUAACCCCGUGAUGGGAAGGAAACUGGGAAGCUGGAGUAUCGGAGAGGAAAGUGGAAUUCCUAGUGUAGCGGUGAAAUGCGUAGAGAUUAGGAAGAACACCGGUGGCGAAGGCGACUUUCUGGACGAAAACUGACGCUGAGGCGCGAAAGCGUGGGGAGCAAACAGGAUUAGAUACCCUGGUAGUCCACGCCGUAAACGAUGGAUACUAGGUGUAGGAGGUAUCGACCCCUCCUGUGCCGGAGUUAACGCAAUAAGUAUCCCGCCUGGGAA